rnacentral:lncRNA from 1 species
CUUCCUUCCUUCCUUCCUUCCUUUCUCUCUCUUUCUCUCUUUCUCUUAAAAUUCUGUUUUAGUCUUCCAUAUCUUCCUCUUCCUUGUUGUCCUCCCAGCACCUUUUCUAAGAAUUUAAUUCAAUUGUUUAAAACAAUGAAAUAAGGACGGGAAAAAAAAAAAAAAAAAAGUAUAUUUUGUGCUGGCACUGGGAAGAAGGGUCAUAUGCUUGUUUAUGUUGAGCCAUCCUGAUGAUGAACAUGUUCAGUUCUGACUGGCGAUGUAGCCAGGAGCCAGCAACAUCUGUCUAUUCUAUUUUCUUCUGUUCAUCUGGCAAUAUAUGUAGAACAGAGGAGAUCCAUGUAUGCACUUUAGGCAAAACUCUGAUGGAUGUGUGAACAUAAGUCUCAAUACAGGCAAAGGUCAUGGAAAAUAAGAAGCCACUACUCACAAGUAUGACACCAACAUCUAACAUAAACCUUGGGUAUGAGUUCUGUAGGCUUCUCUCACUCCACACGCGUAUCAUCUCACUUCACAGCAUGAAGUUAGGAGUAAAACAGAGAAGUAAAGCUGUAAAACAUACAACUUGUCUUUUCAUUAGCAUUAGCUUUCCAUUCCCUGUAGUAUCAACAUAGAAGACAAAGCAAAAUUCUGUAAAUUUGGCUGAGGAGCUGCUGUGGAUGAGCUAGUUGAUUUUGAAACUUCUAGUCUUCACUGAGAAUAUUGUUAAAAGUCCUUGUUGAUAGCACUUCAUGUUUGGGAAGGGUAGGUCCAGAAUUGUCCCAGAAGGUUUCUGUGGAUUCUCCAAGUGAGGGGGAAACCUUCAUUUAGUGUUCAGCCAACUCAGUUGACUUCCAUUGCCAAACCAUUAGAGUAAAGGGAUAUUUUUUAGAACUUGGAUGAAGAAUGAAGCAAAACAGAGGUGGGCACCACUGGAGAGACCUCUCUGCUCUGGCCUCUUUGAUUUAGAACAGUAAAACCAGUCCCAAGGUGCUCUCAGGAGGACAGAAUGGUAAAUCUGAUCAGGUCAACUGCUGGAGGUGGAGAGCAUGCAGUAUAUGCUAGCUGUCAGUCUCACUUUGCAGAUGUGAAUUCACACUGAGCUUAACUUGGAAUACUGAUUAUGGUGGCCUAAUGUUAAUGGAAAUAUCUAAUAGAAUAUUUAUUUAUGUCAAAGUGCUUUUGAAACAGUUCUCAUUAAAAAAAGGGGUCUUCCCACCUCCUUGUUUACAUUGCUUUAAUCUAAAUUCUAUAUUUAUAUAGAUUAAAAUGGUGUAUCCUUGGUGAAGUUUAUCUUAUUCUGUAGAACUUCCUACAGGAUCAGAUGCAUGUGUCUGGGAUGCUGUUUGUAGAGCCAGUCCAAAAAUUAGGAAAUAUUAAAGCAAGAUAUAAAUACUGAGGUUAAAGUGAUACCUCAGGUGUUGGAGGAUGUUAUCAUCUUAAGAAAACUAGCAGAACUUACAUAGGGAUCUGAUUUAAAUUUAGCUGGAUAUGAAACAAAACUUACCACAUUUCUAUCUGCCUGCAUGUUGUUAAUAGUGCUAAGUAGAUCUGGGCAACAUUUGUUGUUUUUCUCUCUGCAAGGCUUCAGGCUUGGAAUCACUGCAGUUUCAAAUCAUAAAUUGGGUAGCUAAGUUUUUGUGCUGAAUAUCCAGGCUCUAAUAAACCAGAAACAAAGGAAUCUUAAUGAUUUUCCCCCCAGAGAUUUACAUUUAGCUAAAAUCAAAUUGUUUUUUUCUAUAGUCAUUAUUAGAUCCUGAUGAGCACUUCAGAGUGUGGUGUUUUCCUGCCAGACCUUAAAAGUGUGAUAGUGCUGAAUCCAUGCAAUUUACAUGUAAUUUAGUAAACUCCACUCUGCAGUGGUACUUGAGGACAGCUUCGAUGACUGUGGGUUGGCUGCUGGCUAAACUGCACAUUCUUAGAAGUGCAGGAAGAUCCUCUUCAUUGAUUACCAUUCAUCUUAGCUGGAGAAUGUACUCACAGAAGUCUGACAGAUGGGGAGUGUAACCGAGUAUUUAUUUCAAAUCUUUAUUUACUAAUGGUAAAUUUUGGAACAAUUAUUGUAAGCCUCUAGCUCUUGGAUUUCAAAUGUUAUGAAUGUAAACUGAUGAGGCACGUGUUGUCUUUUCUAGAAAAAAAAUCAUUUUUUUUAGGGGGGAGCCUCAAGAAAAUUGCACAGAACAAACCAAUGUGCAUUGCAUAUGCAAUGUCUUGUAAUUAUAUCUUGUCAAAAGCUCAACUUUUUCCUCCUUAAUUCUUUAGAAAUAUGGUAAUUGUCCCUUUUCCCUUGUAGUUAAUUAUAAAUUUCAGGAAGAAUUAAGUCUGUUAAAUCUCUUCUUCCCCCACUUCCCCCUCCCUUGGUCUCUAUGGUAGCAGCAGGAAUAGAAGGGAAUUACUUUGAUCUUCAUUUCUGAAUGACAUUUCAUUUCUUCUAAGCAUUGACCUUGUUUAGUGCAACUGAAAUUUUCAAUAGAUUUCAAUAGAUUAUAAUUUGCUGAUCUCAGAGAGAUGUCUUUAUUGAGAUUAGUUUUAACUACGAACGAAGAAGGGUGAUUUGUUUCAUAAAUCUGUGAACAGCUCUAUAAACUGGGAAAAGAAAAUGUUCAAUUAACUGCUCAGGCAGAUAUGAUUCGGGCUUAAAGCUACUGCACAGCAGUGGAGAGCUGCACACGUAAGGAAAGGUGGAAGAUACUGAGUAAGACAAAGAAAAUUAGAAAGCCUGAUCCUGCCUCAAGUAAUGAUAGCAUUUCUUAAUGACAGCAGAGCUAUAUAGCCUUAGCAAGCCCUUUCUCUAAUAUUCUGAGGGCCUGGGUGGACGUGGGAAGAAAAUUUCCUAGUGCUGAGGUGAACUGCAUUUUUAAGCAUUUCAGAUAGCUGGAGCUGACCAAAUGGAUUCCUUGCAAUAUCCAGAAGGACAUUAAAAGCAGAAAAGAUAGGUCUCCUGGCACAAGUCCUCAACAUAAUCAUGCAUUUCUUCUGUGUUUUAAUCUAUUUGCUACUACUAUGCAAAUUUCCUUCUGCCUCCCUUCACCUGAUACAAAAGUUCUGAAAAAUGAGAGGAUGUGUGCAGUCAAGGAGAAGAGAAUGGUUAUUUAUGAGUGAAUCAGGGGUCAGGGGUAUUGCCUUGUGUAUGAUUAUAUUUUAGUUCCAUGGUUUUCAUUUCCCCAGAGAAUCCUCUGCAUCAGAGAAGAUAAUUUGUCAGGCUGUGUAAAAGUAGAUAAGUAUCUUCCAUUGGGUUUGACUUCAGAGAACUCUUUUGUUACUGGAGACCUCACUCAAGGACUUGUAUGCAAUUUGCAAAUCAUAUUCUUGGCUGUUUUUCUGGAUACAAAUGGAAUCUUGCCUGUGACUCCUUUUGACUCUGAUCACUAAUAUCUUCUCUGAGAAGGAAUUUAAGUCAGAUCUUAGAGUGUUGCAAUUCAGUGAGCCCUAAAGAAACCUAUAGCAGUUAAACUAUUCCUAAAUAUUCUCUCUGUCUUUUGUCAAUCUCUACUUGCCCAUGAAAAAAAUGGCAAUAAUCUAUAUGCAUGUGCUCUUAGAGUUCCCCAAACACCUCCAGCAUUCAGUGUGGUUGAUCACGCACCUCAAAAGAGGAAUUUAUCCUUGAUACUUUCUCCAGAGCUUGCUGAUAUGCAACUGCAUUUUUGUGACCAACAACCUCUGUGACCAACAACCUCUGCUUUGCGGUGCCACAGAACUCUCAGCUUUACCCAUUCUGAUUCAGUGUUUCUAUGCAGGAAAAUCAGAGUGACUUCCUAGGCACUGAUGCUUACCACUCUGCAUUAUAUUAAUGUAUAUGCAAGGUGCAUACCUGAUUUAGUGGUUGGCAAUCCUGUCCAUGGCAGUGGGAUCAGAGCUAGAUGAUCAUUUCAGAUUCCUUCCAACAAAAACUCUUCUUUGAUUCUACAUCAUACUGAUGUUUCUAAUCAGAGCUAGUAACAGUCAGUUAUUUCAACAUCUGACUGAGAAAAGUACAUAGGAAAGAAGUUUUCUUAAGGUUGCUUGCUGGGAAAGUAGAUGUUUGGCUCAAAGAGUGUGAAGGCUUCCUUUUGCCUUCUGAUAUUGGUGCUUUCUGUCUUCUUGUUACAUAUGAGGGUCUGCAUUUCUGAUAAACCUAUUGCAUUGGUAAUUACAUGUAGCAGUGCCUCCUGAGAAAGAAGGAGGUUAGCAUCUCUAUCAGUUGUUGGUCAUCCCUUCAUUGCUUCCUGAGUGUAUUAUUGCUAAGCAAUUUAUCAAGACUUUAAAGCAUCAGCCCUGGAAGAAAGCUGUCACAAAUGCAGAAUUCAGCAAGGAUAAUGGAUUUAUUCUUUUGUGUUCCAAGGUUUCUUUAUACAAAAAUGUCACAAGCUGAUGAUCUUAUUCCUUAUUUUGAAAUCUCUGACUGCAUGAAGUUGUGAUGAAGCCCAUGCCUGGACAGCUCUGUCCAUACAAUGCAUCUGCAUCAAGGGGAAAGCUGAGUAGUGCCAGGUAUGCUCAAGGAAAAGGAAUGAUACAAGACUGGAAAUCAUUCAUAAACAAUGGAGAAACAGCUUUGCUACUUCCAUUUCAGAUGGAGAACUUUCAUUGGAACAUAUUCUCCCAGAUAGCAAGGCAAAAUAUAUUUCUUUUGCAUAUAAAUAUCAGUAAAGAUGAAAAGGGAGCAACAGGUCACUCUGUACUCCUUUGAAGACUGGCUAAAAAAAAUGAUUUGAAGUGAUGGAUUUUCAUCACUUUUUGGAUUAUUAGCUUUCCAGUGUAAUGGUAGACCAGAGUUUAUAGUCCUUAUACUCACCAAACUCCUAAACUGGUGAAAAUAUUAACAGCAAUAAUCAAAUUGAGUUAGUUUCUUUUAAAACCUGCAAAUAAUUCCCAAUUUAUUUAUUCCUAUUCUUACUUGCAUUUCCUGUGCUUUCAGAAUCCUUUAUGUACUGCUGACUUUGUGGGUAACUUGUUUCAUAGUUGGUGUCUAUAACAUAUGACAUGUUGGAAUUUGUGGUUUAUUUAAAAAAAAAGCAUACAUAAAAUUGAGCAUUUUUAUGCAGAGAGCUUUAUUAACACCUGAUAUGGAACUGUUGCUUAGAACUGUUUCAUCUGAGUGAGGAUGGGAGAUAUGAAAGGUAUGAAAAGCGUUUUUAAUGAAAAUGCAAAAAGUAUUGAUCACUGAAAUUUGAAUUCAAAUAUGAAUUUUCAAGAAAAUGUUUCAAACUUCAUACUCAACUAAGCCCUUGAGCUGUAAAUGUGAGAUAUCUGGAAAGCUGCUGCCUGUGAGCAAUUCCCAUUACCUCUCUCUCUCUGGCCUUCAAAUGCACAACCUUUGCCUUGUGAUUCUGGGCUUUGUGACAAUUUUUGCUAUGAAUCUCAAAGUAAGGAGUAUCUGUAGAGUGCUCCUCCUCCUUCUAUAAGAUCUGGACCUUUUAUUUUGCAGACAUAUCCUCUUUAAGAAUGUGAGGAUAGUUUUAAGGAAAACUUUUAAGGAAUCUCUGGACACUGCUAUACAUGGUUAUCUGAGUUUGUAGGGUUAGAGGUUUCAAUCAAAAAUCUUAUUCCUGUCCAAAGCAGAUUAUUAAUUUUCUAGCCUUUAUUUGGACUUAGAUUAGACUGUUUGUUAAUGAAAGAAAGAAAAUAAUAAUUGGCAAUGUUUUAACCAGCCUUUUGAUCAAGGUUUAUUUAUAGUUUUGUUAUUUUGAUAGCAUUGGUUUGGUGUAGCAUUCAUCCCUUCCUUGUAGGAGAUAACAUAUUGCUGCCAUGAUACCAAUGACUUUUUCUAAUCCUUUUAAAAAGACUUUCUCAACUUUCAUCUAAAUAUACAAUGCUUCCUGCUUACUAACUAUGCAUUGUUGAAUAUUCCUUAAAGGUAUCUAAGUGGAAACAUAGAAGGUGUUUAAUGUUUUGGGAAUACAAAUCUGAAAUUGCUAAGCACAGCUCUUCCUGCACUUUUUCCUCCUUAUAAAAGUGUUUAGCACUGCAAUGCUUUAGAAAUGUUUACUUUUUGGUGAUAAAGAAGAAAGCAGAAGUAGGCUUUGUGAGUUAAUGUUCUCAAAUCGGACUCAAAAUGGAAAGUAGCAUGAAGCCUCAGUUCUGUUCUCAGAGGUCGCCCUCCUUUGCUCUCAGCAUGAGGAAAGGAAAGGUGUAUUGUAGCUUCUUGCAAUAUACCUGUCUUAAAUGAGAAUAAAACAAAAGGCUAGUUGUUCUUUUUGUUUGUUUGCUUUUUACAUGAUGUUCAGCUUCAGGAACGCACAUAAUUAAGGGAGUCCUCCAAUUCAAGCAGCUAAAUAAUAGUUUGACUCAUGUGAAAUGCUGAGAGUAAUGGUGGCAGACAGCAGAAUUUAUUCUGAACUUUUCUUCAGGGGCUCUGACCCAACCCACUGUUGCAAUUUGUUCUGAUGGGCUCCAAACCUUUGCUAAGAUGUAAUUGAAUCACAGCAAAUGCAAGGGAAAUUACAGGAAGAUCAGCCUGAAAGCCGGAUGGUAGCAUCUUGCACUGCCAUGUGGAACAUUAGACUAAAAGUUACCCCCUCAUUCUUUUGAUUCUGCAGAGUUUCAGGGAACUGCAGGAUUCUUGCUCUUUUUCCUCCUCCAUGUUACAUAUGGGAAGCAACCUGUGUGUUCUACUCAGCAAUGAAAUACCCCUUGAUAAUUUGGGACAGAUUUACUCCCCCUGGGAAAUAGCCCUGGGGUGCUUCAGGCUGCAGUUCAAACAGGACAUGAUACAAAAAUGCAGCCUGUUAUGAAAUGGGGGAAAAAAAGCUGAUUUUUACCUGCUCCCUAAAGCUCUGCUGUUGUUCCCUGAAUGCUCCGUUGUGGAAGGAAACCAGAUGGCAGCUGCUUGGGGUUCAGGUUGGGUGAAGACUGCAUUCAUCCACCUAACUGGGAACUUCACUGAAAAAGUGAUGGGUAAAGAUUGAUCCUAUGAGCUGCAGAUCUUAUAUGGUGAUAGAAAAAUGAUUUUGUCAGGCCUAACGGGUACUAGUAAACUCCUAGAUGCUCCAUCUGGAAUGGAGCCCAUUGUGCCUAGUGAUUGCAGCACGUACUGUGUUGUGUGUAAUGCCAUUUUCACUUGUUUGCAGCAGAGCCAUGGCAGAUGCCCAUCCCACAAAUGCUCAGUCGAAACACCUGCCUGGAUACCCAUUCAGCACUCUACCGUAAGUUUGAGCCUUUUAAUGAAAAGCUUUGAGAGACUGAAUGGUAAGUCUCAGUGUCUGGAGCAGUGCUGCCAGGUAAAAUUUUGAGACUUAGUGCUUGAGAAAAAAAAAAAAAGUAAGUCCUAAGACCAAACCAAACUCUGUGGGAAGCCUGAGCUGAUGAAAUGUUGGGUAUAGUCUUAGCAGGGCUUCUUCAGAAGUUCACCCUCUUCGGAAAUUUAAUUCAUUCCAUGUGGAGCAUGGGGAUCAGUGGCAAGUGUGGUGUGGCAAGCAUGGUUGUUGGUAGAAUCCAAAUCAAAUGGAAUGUGGAGUUCCUGCCACUUGCUGUAACUAACUGUGCUCCAGCUGAGCGUGAUGACAAGGAGCCUGCUAGUUUUGCCCUGUCACGGGCAUGGUUUGUGGGAAUUAAUCCAUAAGCUCCUGCUGGGGCUUCCAGGAACAAGUGACAUUUAUAGCACCACUUGUCCCCAGACUCAGAUAAUGGCACCAUGAUGGGGAAAUGCUUAUUUCUUUUCCACUUUUUCAUGAAAGAAAGACUGGUGAUCCUACGUGCUUCAUGGACUAAUAAGUGGGAAAAUUAGUCCAGCGUAGGUAACUUUUGAGCUGGUAGGCAGUAAGUGAACUUUACUGGAGUGGAAAUGGUCUGUUUAAAUGCUGCCAAUUAGAUGUCUUCAGUGAGAUUUGCUUUAACUAUCAAGGACAUAGUAAUAUUUGAAGAGAAAAAAGAAGCUACGGUCAAGUUGACACUGCAUUGAUUUAUAUCUUGUCUGAAUAUACAUUGUAUAUAAAGCCAAAUCCUUGGAUGCUGGAAGUUAGAAGGCUUACUAAUAGAGCUAUGGUGAUUUAUCUCAGCUGAGGAGUUGGCAGGAUUUAGGUGACAUUUUCUUUGGCUCUAGACCACAGAUUGAUGUUGGUCCUCAGCUAUCAACUUGUCACCGUUUAUGAGUAGAUGAAUGAGAAACAGAUUCCGCUUUUUGUCCUCCCUCGCUCUCUUGCUGAUCUUGAAAGUGACUGUAAACCCUGUAUUUUUGAUUGUCUUUAAAUUAUGUUAAAAUUAAUGAUAUCAUUGUUAAUCUAUCUAUGAAUAUAGACCCACAUAAACAUAUUUAUUGAGCCAUUGAGCUAAACAGAUGUUUUCCAUCUGAGGAUCUAGCCCAGUAACUAACUUCUAAGUCUUAAUUAUUUGUUUACAUUCUCAUAGAACUGGAUUGGCUUUGUGAUGUGGCCUGAUUGUUAUUUUGUUUGUAUAGGGAGGGCUGUGGCAUAAGCACAAGUAUGGCAGCAUGGUGCUCUCCGAAAUGGAAAUAUGUGAUCGUAAAAGUAAUUAGGUCAGGAGCAGUUGCACUCAGUGAUUUCCAUUAACAUCAAGAACUGACUUUUUGGACAGUGACUUCAAAAACUUUCAUAAGUAAAAUGAUUUUUCUUCCCAUCUGGGUAUUUUUUAGAAUAUUUCAUUCUUAAGCCAUCAAAAAUGAAAGAAUUUAGACUGAUUAGUCUUUGCUUGCUGUGUUACACCAGGUAUGUGCAUGCAUGGGUAAUUCCUAUAGACCUGCUAUCUUGCAUACUUGCAUACUGAAACAAAAAAUAGUAAACUGAGGAUCCUACUUUGUUGUCUUUAUUAGCACUAGAAGUGAUCUAACAUCAGGAUAACUCUACAAGCAGUGUUAUUUUUAAACAGUUACAAUAGGGAAAAAAAACAGAACACAAAAGCUUACUAUUAGAAUGCAGUUCAACCGUUCACUUGGUUACUGUUUUCUGGAAAUAUAGAGUACAGCAUGUGUUCAUGAAAUAAUUGCCUGUUUGAAGGUUGCUUCCAUCUGUACUUAAAUGUUGAAUGGAGUGAAGGAGCUCAGCAAUACCCUACAAAUAAGUUGGAGUUCACAAGAUAGCUGCUGUGAUGGUUCUUUUUUAUUGUUUUGUUUUAUCUAUCUAUCUAUCUAUCUUUCUAUUUCCCAUUAAGCCAUUUCCUGUGCAGCCAACCAGAUUUUUCUGCCUACUUAUGUGAAUUAGGUAUUUAUAAGCAUUUAUUCAUAAGCCAGCUGUGACAACUCUAUGCAACAAUCAUAGUGUGUGUUUGGAUACCUCUCAAGAGCAUUGUAGUAAACAGCGUGAAAGAAUGACUGUAAAGCAAAAUGGUAAACAGGGUAAACAUCCUCUUUCACUCAUUUCCUUGGCUGUAUCACCCUGGAAUCCAUGAGUCUGGGAGAGAUUUUUCUCUCCUUUUUCAGCAAUCUUUAUAAAAAACGCUAUGUCCUCUCCCGGGAUUGCCUUUGUCAUCUAGUGCAAGAACCAGGAGAGCUAGCAGUUAUGUAACAGUCUGACGCUUUUGCAGUCCCUAAUUUACUGUCUUUUUUGAAUUUACUGAUGAUUCUUGCAAUUAAGAUUCUCAGUUCUGUUUGGCAACUCGCCAUCUGCAAAAGAGGGCAUAAGUGAACACUGACUUUCUGCGCCUUCACAAUGUCCUUAAUUAGAUUCAUUUUAAGUCUGAGAGUUUUAAUCAAGGGAAUUACCUAAGGGUGUCUUUGUCUGCACUUACACUUUUAGUCAUGUCUUCCAAAGGAUUUGUAGUGUUUGAUUAUAAAAUACUCCAAAACGAGUUUCACUGCUUUGCUUUUGGCAUACUAAACUUUCUUCUUACUAGGAUGACUUGCUUGCUAGAUCUAUUAUGCAGAGAUAAUGAAGUAUCACAGACUGCAUCUGUGUUGCAGAAAUAUUUGGGGUUAACAGUAUUUUUUGAGGUCAGCAUUCAACACAUUCUCUGUGCAGCAUUAGUAGAUUCUCUCUGCUUUUUCACGCUACAGAGCCCUUGGUCCAUCAGUCUAAUCCCCUUCCACCCUUUUGGGAUGUCUUCUGCUACUAAGAAACAGCAGAAAGGAGUGGUAAAAGUUAUCUGGGGCACAAAAGAUUUCUAGUGAGUGCCCUAAGUCAUUCAGUGCCAUCUAACCCCUCAGUGUUCAGAAGUAAACAUGGACUUGGGAACAGUGGAACCUGUACGAAGAUCUUCACAGCUGUGCACACUACCAUAGCCCAUUCAAUCAUAAAAUCAUUGAGUCAUUAAGGUUGUAAAAGACCACUAAGAUCAUCAAGUCUAACUGUCAACCCAUCCCCACCAUGCCCACUAAACCAUGUCUCUCAAUGUCACACCCCAACAUUUCUUCAACACCUCCACGGAUGGUGACCCCACUACCUCCUCGGGCAGCCUGUUUCAAUACCUCACUACUCUUAUGGAGAAGAACCUUCUCCUAAUAUACAACCUGAAUCUCCUCUGGUGCAACUCAAGCCCAUUCACUCUUUUCCUAUUGCAGUUACCUGGGAGAAGAGCCAACCCCCACCUUUCUACAACCUCUGUUCAGUGAGAUGUAGAGAGUAACCCUGUCUCUCUAGACUGAACAAUCCCAGUUCCCUCAGCUGCUCCCCAUAAGACGUGUGCUCCAGACCCUUCACUGCUUUGUUGAACAUCUUUGGACACUCUCCAGGGCCUCAAUGUCUCCCUUGUAGAGAGGUGUCCAAAUCUCAUGGGUUGUAGCUUUAUGUAGGUGCUACACCGUGGGAAUAUAGUGCACAUUUUGGCUGCCAGCCUGCUUGGCAGCUGAGCCUGAUGUCUUUCUGCCCUCACAAGGAGAGCAAAAGUCACUCUUUCCUGAGCCCUGCAUACAUAUGUAGGAUAUUAUGGUCCUGUUUACAUGGGAUAAAUCAGUGAACAGAUGACAAAGUUACUUUGGCUUUGACUUUUCCCAGUUUACUGGGAACACUGUAAGGACAAGAAUGCACUCUAGCCCUGCAUAGUAUCUGAUUCUAGUUUGAUCUGGAAGUUAGCUCAUAAACAUUUCUGGUUCAAUCUAAUCAAGGGUUUCCUUCUUCACAUAAGUUAUUCUAAAGAAAGUUGUACUUUUGGAAGAUGCCUGUAUGUUAGUUCUGGUGGUUGUGCUUUAAGUAAAGAAUGUUCUGACUCUUGUACAGUGGAGCCAAGUGGGAACAUAUUGAAGCACGCAUAUUCUGUUUUGUUUUAUGGCUCUGAGUCUGGAAGAAUCGUUUCUGAAAUCAGUUUUGCUCUCUUUAAACACAAAACAAAUAAAUGGCUCUGUUUGGCCAGACUCAUUGCUCUCCUGAGACUUCAGGUUGUGAACUGUGUCCCUUCCUUUCCUGUGUGGAUGUGCUCUAUAAAACAUGUAAAUAGCUCUGCACUACAGAAAGUACCUUUCGCAGGGGCUCUUUCACUCUCCCCGAGCUUUAAGUCUUUUUCUAUUAAAACACUGUUGGCUAAUAAGUUCUGCAGACAAUCUGGGUGGUGGAAAAUGUUUUUUUUUUUUUUUUUUUUUUUUUGGCUAAUAUGUGAACUAUUUGAAAACUGAGCUAUUCAUACAAUGUUCUGUUUCUGUGUCUUUCACCUUUGUGCUGAUGGUAAUGGAAAAUUCUAAGUGCUAAAAUUCAGCUUUGUUUUUAAAGGAGGUAGUAAAGCAAUACCAUGCAUGUUUCUGCUGGGUCAUGGUAUUACUGCAGCUCUUCAUCAUUCUCACUCCUGCACCCCUCCUUGCCUAGUGCUGGAGGCACGUUGCUGUCCAUUUCUUCACCAUUUAAGGAGGCUGUCUGUAUCCUGCACUACUGAAAUGCUGUCAUCAAUUGCCAGUCACAGGUACAAAUAUUUGUUUGAAAUAUUUAAUGUUUACUAUGAAUUCUGACACAUCCUAUCAAUCAUUCCAACUGUACCUACUCAUCUGAGCCAAGGUAGGCACAUCUUUUUUUUUUUACUCUGGGUACUUAAUGGUAUUUCCUUAGUGUCUGGGCAUCUUAGGAUAUUAAUCUGUUGUCAUAAGGCCUGUGACAAGAAUUUGAGGAAAGCUACUGUCUCAAUUUUAUAACUGAAGAAGGUAUCGAAGGGCCAGAUUGGAUAAGGCACCGGGCAACCUGACCUAGUGCAUGAUCUAGUGGUUGGCAACCCAUGGCAGGAGCUGGAACUAGAUGACCUUUGAGAUCCCUUCCAUCCCAAACCACUCUAUGAUUCUGAUACAAUACACCAGCAAUAUUUAUAGAGGAAUCUGAUCCUAUGAUUCUAUAAUUCUAUGACGGUGACUGCCACAUAGAGGACAGUCAAACAUUUCACUUUUGGAACAAGCACUGCACUCAAGAAAAUUAACCCAUGACAGAAUCGUUAGCCCGAAUGUGAUGCCAUGCCUCUGUAAAACAUUUAACUUGUCAGCUCUUGGAACAACCUUGGGGCUCUGUAAAAAAGAACAGAGUGACAGAACAGGACACUUUUCAUUUGUGGAAAGGAAAGAGGCAUUUUACACUUAUUUACAGUCACAGAAAAUGGAGUAACUUCAGGAAAAGAUUUUGAUAGGUUGUUUUAGCAGCCUGGGCUAUCUCUUUAUGUGGCUAUUUGCCUUCAACUUUGGAGCUGUGUUCGAGCUGUAGAGCAACAGGACGACCGAGUUGUGUAGGAGCUGUCAGAUCCGCAAUCUGCUCUGCUGUCGCUGUCGAUGCUGAGAGCCACGUUACAGGGGCAGCUACAUUUAGAGGCAAAGUGUUCCGUAUUGCUUUGAGUUGUUUUAACGUAUGGUGGAAGCAUCUAAAAUUCGAUGUGCUAUAAUUAAAGAAAAAGCAAAACAAGAGAAAGGCUGAAGCUUUUCCUCCCACAAAUACAUAGGAUAUAUAUGUAUUUUUGUAUAGACUUUUCAAUAUCUCCUCCAUGCCGCUGGCACCUGAGCUUACCCCAGCUGCAGAUCUCUGCUACAUAAAUACAAUCCUCAUCCCCAGCUAAUCUAAGCCUGUUGGUGUUCAACGCCAAUCCUUAUUUGCUGUGCCACUUGUCAAUCUGACAGAGGUGGUAUUCCCUUCACUGACACUACCAGUCUGGGAUUUCCUGACUGAAGGAUGAACCUUGAAUUAUUUUGAGUGAUACUCAUAUUUGGACAACGAUUUACUAUCUUAAAACUGUUUGACAACAUGGAACGAACAACCAAACUGUUCUAGUGCGAAAAGUAGUGAUUUCUAGCACUGGAUAGGCAGACGUAGGAUUUAAAUGUCAUGACAGUAGCAGAAUGGCAACACUGCACUGCAGCACAGACAAUAAGCUUCAGAAGACCGAAUCUAGUCAUUUCUUGUUACAGGAAACACUGUCAUAUCUUGCGUCACUCAAACUUGGAAAAUAUUUAGUCACUCUUCUUCUAACCUCCACUUCCAUCCUGUGCUGUCCAGUGCUGCUGAAUACAUAUGGUAGAACAAAGCAUGACACACAAAAAGUCACUCUUUAACAAUGAGUUUCAGUUGGAGUGCCAGGUGAAUAACUCAUCAGACAAUUUGUGAUCUACCUCAGUUUUACCCCUUGCUGCAUCCCAAUCUGUUGCAGGUCUGCAUGGUAGAUAGAGCUUUUCAUUCUAAGCUCAGUCUGGGCAUUCUAAGGAGCCAAUUUAUGUCACAUUUGACAUUAGCAGACUUACUCUAUUUAAAUGGUUCAUAAAACUCUAGAGUGGCCAUAGUAGAUAGAAGAAAAAUCCCAACUGGUAUUUAUAGCUCUGCAGCUGAUAGAGGUCUGCAGUUGAUACUUAGAGAUAAAGUGUGGUAACUCAUCAAGUACAGUGAUACUUCCCAUGGAAUAUCUUUCUUGUAAUCAGUAGAUUAGAGGCUUCUUAUGCUUGAGGUUAUGGAUGGACAGUUACUUGUGAGAGAUAAGAACUAAUUCAAAUAAAAGAUAGUGGAACAAACUUCUGUUGUCAGAUAUGUUAGAGUAAAUCUAGAUUUGCACUGGCAUAGCAAUACAGUUUGGUUCCUCAUUCCCUUCUUGGAUAUCAAAAGUCUACAAACCGGAAUAUUUGACUACUCUCAUGAGUAGGUUUUUUGUUUGUUUGUUUUGUUUUGUUUUGAAUAGAGAAAUAAUUGUUUUGCUAAUAAAAUCUUAGUGUUUACCUUAUUGAUUCUUAACAGUAGUAAUACAAUUUUUACUUAUCAGAUAUAGGCUUAUCAGAUUUCUGGAAUAGUAUGUAGGCUUAUUCUAUUUGAAUAUAAUCUAAUCAGCUACACAUUUCUUCCCCCGGUAGAUACGUGUAUGAAUAGUGCUUUAGGAGAUUCAAGGGGUGAUUUAAACAAUGAUUUUUUUCUGCUUUCUUUCUCAAAAUUCAAAUUGCAACUGGCUUUCUGAAAUAACAAUUGUAUUACUAAACAGCGUCUUCUAAAACAAAAAAUGUUUUUAUUUUCUGUUUAUUUUUGUACACUAUGGCUGAUAUGGUAUUGUGGAGCUCUUGUAAGAUUAUUCACAAUCUUUCUAUUCCACUUAAUAGUAGGACCUUGUAUCUCCUUUCAUUUCUGUGAAAUCAAUGGCAAAAUUGAUUUUGGAAUGAAAGUAGAAGGAUGUCCUCUAGUUUAUCACCUCUGAUAAUUAAAGAAUUUGAAUUAGGUUUGUCAUUUCACAGCAUUCACAGUAGCAGUUUAGAAGAUUGCAUGCUUAUUGGGUUCUUCCAUAUGCCUAACUGAUGUUAAGCAGUAAACUUUCUGAAAAGGGAGCUUAUGAAAUGCUCUAUUUACGAAAACCAAUAUUGACAUCUAUAUUAAUUUAUAUCUGAUUAUUUUACUAUCUUCAAAUGGUUUUUUGGACACGGAAAUUGGAUAUUAUUUUUUAUUUUGGCCUUGUUUAACAGUAGUAAUCUACAACAUCACUGCAGCUACGUGGCAGUGAGCUGUUUUGUGUUCCAGUUUGUACGUAAUUAACUGUAUUGCCAACUUAUUACCAAGUACUUAUUACUGGUCAAUUUGCAUAAAUUGCAGCAUCAUGGCUGAUCCAGUGCAAAACUUUGUGGUUUUAGAAACAUAUAUUUUAUCUUAUUUUAGUUGAAAAUGUUUAACUGCCAUAGCUCCAGGUUGAAGCUACCAGUGUUCAAGGCGACAUAAACAUAAAUGCUUUAAAAUAACAUGGCUUUAAAGCAUAUAAAAUUAAAUGUUAGUGUUCUCUUUUAAGCAGAUGUUCCACACUCUUCAGUAUAUUCAUAGCCUAUAGUUUAUACAGUCUUCUAUGCUGUUGUAUUGUCAGCUUUACACCUUUGUUCUUAAUUUAUUAUUUCUGUUUAUCCAUUGUGACUGAAAAUACUGUCACACCUGCAGAGACCUCAGAUUUAUCUUGCUUUCUGAGUAGAAGCCAAUAGACCCCAACUGUCACAAAAUUGAAAUGGCUGGAUAAUAACAAAUUGCUUCUUGUCCUUGCUGCUAUUCUCUAAGUGGUCUGGGCUAUCAUGAAAUGCUCUCUCUGACAGCCAGGUCUAGUAGUCAGCGAUACAUCACAGGAUUACAACAUCCUGGAUCCACAUAAACACUGCAGUGGUAAAAUACAGUUUAGACAACACUCAAGUCCCAAAUCCAAAUAGGCAAUCCCAUUCCUGUUGCCCUUUCCUCACCACAGGGAUUCCUGUAGGACUUAAAGCACCAGAGUAUUCAGAAGUAAAUUUCCCAUCCUUUGUGCUGAAGCUUCUUUCAUUUCUUUUUGUAAAACUGGGCACCUUGGGUAGAUAGGAUGGAAACUUCCUCUGUCUGAGCCUCAUUCAUUGCUGCUCUCCUGGGAGGUGGAAACUGGGGGUUUGACCUCAAGCAUGAAACUUGUGUUGAACUCUGAACUUCAGCUCACAAAAAUGCAAUAAUCUUAAAAGCAACUCAUCAUCCAUUCAUCUUUUGAGGGGAAAGGAUGAAGCAAUAACCUCUACCCAAAGGGACAACUUAGGUGUGUAAGUAGAGGAGAGGAUUGUAGACAAUGUGUCAUAACCUCUUCUAGGUGCACAGGUCAGGCUACCUGCAGUAGGAGAUGGGGAAAUUCAGAAAUAACUUCUUGUUACUCUUAUUUUUUUAUUUUUAUUUUUAUUUAUUUAUUUAUUUAUUUAUUUUGCUGGGCUUUUAUUUGAGCUACACUCCAUACAAAAAUGAGGAGCAAAUUCUAUCCACAAGUACAAACUGAGCGGGUGAGCAGCAAGAACGUGAGCUGUGAUAGGGUCUUAUGCUACAUCAGUUCAGUUCAAAGCUGCAGGACCUUUGCAUAAGUCUUUGCAGAUGGACAUUUCUGUGCUAAUUUAUGGAAGCAAAGAAUUAGGAGCCACAAUAGUUAGGAAUACUAAAUUGCAUUGCUUAGAAAAUCUGGGUGAUUUAAAAUACUUUGGGAAGCUCAGCAACACCAUGACGUACAAUUUCACUGAACUUUAGCUCACUUACUUUCUACUUUCUAAAGAUAGUAAUAUGUGUUGGCAAGAGUAGUCCGUCUUAUUCUGACUGAUCACCUCUUCAUUUGACGGAUUGACUGUAAGAACAGAUUAGAUGUCACUGUGCGUAGCUCAUGAAUUAGAUUUCAAUUCCUUAUAAAAUAAUUGAAUAAAUGCCUGGAGAUGAAAUCAGUUAAAUCUAGAGGGUAAUAGAAGUUUGAGUAAACAAGCAGCAUGAUUUUUAUAGAGAACAAAUCAUGCAAGACACACUUAAUUGCUUGUUUUGAUAGAAUUACUAAAUUAUUAGCUGCUGCUUAUAUUUUUGGGGAUAGACUUUCUAAAACAUCAUGAACAGUUAGACUUCCAGCUCCUGCUGAUUUUAAGAGCUUGCUACAUUAUCUCCUGAAGUUUUAAAGAAAAGUUCAUCUUAAUUGGCUUGGAGUUUAGUCUUUCUACAUGACUUUUCAGACCCCCAGGAGUGUCUGUGCCCAGAUGGAUACAUGGAGCUACAGAAUGAUUCUGGCACUGCUUCUAACCAUUAUUAUAUGCAGGCUUGCUUGAUAUUUUCAUUGAUUAUAGAAAAGUCAGGCUCAAACCAUCAUGCCAAGGAAAUGUGCAGGCGUGAAUUUAGCCAUGAGCUUUAAUAUAAUACUGCAGAACAAGGACUCUCGCCCAAAAAACACUGAAAAACUUGUGCUAGGAAAAUUUAGACAUCAGCAGGAGAAGAAAAGAGAAUUUUAUCAACUCUUUUGACUAACAGAGGUGCUUCAAAAAUCUGUUACAUUAUGCUGAAUUUUUAUUUUUUUUUUCUUUUGGAAUUCACAGAAGCAUAGAAUAGUUUAGGUUUAAAGGGACCUUUAUGAGCAUGUAGUUCCAACCCCUCUGCAUGGACUCCUCCCUCUAGACCAGUGUACUCACAGCCCUCAUCCAGCCUGGCCUUGAAUGCUUCCAGGGAGGGGACAUCCACAACCUCACUGGGCAACCAUCCUUACAGUGAAGAAUUUCUUCCUGAUAUCUUGUCUAAAUCUACCCUCUUCCAGUUUAAAGUCAUUUCCCCUCAUCCUGUCUCUAUGUGCUCGUAUAAAAAGUCCUUCUCCAGCUUUCUUGUAGGCCCCUUCAGGUACUGGAAGGCUGCUAUAAGGUCCCCUUAGAACCUUCUCUUCUAGAGGCUGAAAAGCCCCUACUCCCUCAGCCUGUCCUCAUAAGGAAGUUGCUCCAGCCCUCUGAUCAUCUUCGUGGCCCUCCUCUGAACCUGCUCCAACAGCUUUAUGUCCUUCUUGUUUUGGGGGCCCAAGAAGUGGAUGCAGUACUGCAGGUUGGGUCUCAUGGGAGCAGAGUAGAGGGGCGGAAUCACCAAUUAAAAUUAUUUUAAUUCAUCUAAUUACUCUGAAUGGAAGCAAAUUCAGGGAAAAUUAAUUCAACUAAAUCAAAGAAAGGAUAUAGUAGCACUGACAUAUAAUAACACACACUUCUAAAACAAAUCAAGUUAAAAAAUUUAAGAAAAGUUAAUGAUUUGGACCAAAAAAUGUAAAUCAGUUAACUUAUUUCACCUGUCAGAACUCCUUGUAAUGAAAUAUGGACAUGUCUACGGCCAUCGUAUAACGGGAAGUUCUCCAAAGGUGGCAAAUACUGAAUUUGUUCCACUAGUGAAAAGCUGAAUCACAGUGGGUAUUUUAAGAGGAAUACAAGAGGGAGAUUUGGCUGAAGCUAACAAUAUCUGAUUUGAAACAGAUGUCCUCAGACAGCUAAUGGACACGACUGAGAAAGAGUUGAAAACAAAAGAUACAGGAGGUGUUUCUGAGAUAUUCUGUGCAGCAGCAGAAAAUAUAUGGAAGACAGAGUUAGAUUGGGAUCAGUCAUUCAGAACUGGGAUGGAGAAAAUCAGAAGAACAGGAAUAAUGAAGAUAAGUAACGAAAGGCUACUAGUGGAAAAAGUUAUAUCAGUUGUGUAAAAAGUUGGUUGUUACUACUUGAAAAUCAGGUUGAGUUUAAAUGAAGGUUUAUGAAUGAAUAAAAUCAGAAGCUAAUCUAGAAGCUAAUUAAAAACUAAAAAAGAAAAAAGAAAUAUUUAGUUUUUUUUGUUGAUGCUUUUGUUUGUUUGUUUCCCCAGUUCUCUCGUUGGUCUCUGCAUGUCUUGAUGCUUUUGACUGAGGACCUUUGAGAUUUCAGGCUGUGGUCCUACUUAAGGUAGAACUAUCACAGAUGAAAUCAUGAAUUUAAUGAAGUUAAUUUAUUGUCAGUUGAUUUCAGUGUUGACAGAAGUGCCACAACUUAAGAUGAUCUAAUGGCAAAGAAAAUGGAGGGGCAUGAAACAUCCUCAAGGCUGAAAUUCAAUAAAUUCAGGUAUUGAGUGAGAUGUUUUAUUCUCCAUGCUUCUAGUCAAGGAAAGUUAGAGAGUCUGUGGAGGUGCAGAGCAACAUAAAGUUUGGUUCUGAAAGAUCAUUGUAGCCAAAAUAAAUUAUCUUCUCUGGUCAGCAUAAUCUACUUACUGAUCUGAAGUUUGAAGAUAAAUUUAUCAGUUACCAGUCACUGAAAUAAUUGGUGUAAAUCUAAGUCAUCCAGCAAAAUCUGUACUGGCCUGAAAGGAUAAUUUGCAAGUAAAUAAUUUAAUCCUUUGUGUAUAACAAAAAAAAGAAAAUAAGAAAAAAAAAGAAAAAUGCAGGAUGUAAUACAGGACUUCUUAUAACUUACGAAAUAAACUUAUGGAACCAUUUCUCGAAUAGUUCUUCAAUUAACGACCAUUGUUAAAUACUUAUUCAGAUUCUGCUUCUAAAUUUUGGUUAGUUCAAAUCAAGACUUAACUUUACCAUGAAUUGAAUUAUAUGUCAUUUUGAUUGCUCGUGUGAUGUUAUAUUACUCUUUUCUAGAAGGAUAGCACAGUGUGAUUCAGAUUACCUGAAAACAUAAAAUGAGAGAAAACACAACCGUCAUGUAGGUGAAUUGCCCCUUAUUGGCAGCAAUCGAUACAGAAUUACUCAGUCUCACAAGAUCCUUUCGUAGCUUUACACAGUUAACUUUCAUUUGUGCUGCUGUGGGUAACUCAAUAUCUCCUGCAAACAUUGUCAGAUACCUGUUAUUCUCUUUUUCAGAUGAUGUAUGACUAUUUUGAAUUGCAUAUGUGCAAACAGAGACUUCACUAAACGUUUCCAUUUAUGGUGAAAACUAUCCUUUUUUUUCACUUCUUGGCAGGAAGGAACUCAUUGGAAGAUCUCUCCUCUGAACUCCUGAGAGUGUAAUUUCUUUCAGAGGUAUUGAUAAAAGAUAGUCUAAAACUAGUUCUUGACUUCCUAGUACACAUUUUACGGAUUUGUCCUAAAAUCUUUAUUCUUCACUUAAAGGUAGUUCUUCUGAACUGUCCCAUGUAAAGAAAGAUGUAACAGGAGCAGAAGUGUUUUGGGAAAAGCCCUAAUCCUCAUUACAAACAAUCAUAUUUAGACACUUGCAAAGUGAGACUGAAGUCAGAGUAGUCCUCAGAGCGUAAAGAGGAGGAUAAAUAAAAAGAAGUAGUCAAAACUUAUCACAUGGAAUUAAAGGCUAUAGAAGAUCAAAGAGCGGAAUGUAAAGGUGUGAUGGAAAAUAAUAUUUUUAGUAUAUGUGUUAAUGUCCAGAUACUGCUAUUUUGUGGGAAUGUCCAUGUCUAGCUCCGUCCAGGUCAAUAGCUCACAUCCAGUUCUCAAGGCUGAUGAAAAAGUAAUUAAAUUGCAGUGCUGUGGUUUUUUAGAGAAUGUGCUGUUAAGCUAUUCCUUUCAAGGAUAGUACCUUUUCUUAACAAACAAUGUGUAAAAGUGUGAAUGCUACAUCCCCAAGCAUUCACUGUGAUGUUCUUACACUCUUGGGACCUGAAACUGCCCUGAACCUCUUCCCUUCUGCCAUGCACAAAUUAUAUUCACAUUAUAGGACAGUAAAAUUUUCUCAGUCUAUUCAUGUGCUGAGUGCUUAAUACAAAUUGCACACAUAAUAUGACAAUAAAUAUUGAAAUAGCAGAAUUCUUGAAAUUAACCUCAUUGAAACUUUUGCUGCUCUACAGAGGGUUAAACUAAGUGGGUAACGUCUAGUUGUACCAGUAGGUGUAGAGGAAGGAUAUAGUUAGAGAUGGUUUAAUGGGAACACAUGGUUUUCUGGCCAUUAGCCCAGUGAUCUUAUACUGAUUGGUGUUUUGGUGGGAGGAGAGGAGGAGAGGCUCUUUCUCUUCAAAUAUUUUGUCAGUCAUUAAUUUUAAACUCUUCCUGUUUGUCUUGAAGUACUGCAGCAGUGUUCAGUGAUGCCUGAGCACAUGUGAAGCUAUGAUACCCAUUAUUACUCCCAUUGCUCCUAAUACAUACAGAUUUGAUCCGGGCUCUGUGCAAAGGCGCUUCUUCAACUUCAGCUAUUACUUUCCUUUCUCUGUGUUUGUGCAGGUUAUACCAAAUUUUAAAUGGAAAAGUAUUUUGUUUCUGUUUUCCUAGGUGAUCUCUAUGUUUAAGAGGUGUAAACUCCACUGUUAUUCUAUACUCUGGCUGACCUGAUGAAAAGGGAGAUGAGGAUACUUUCAAGGCCUCCCUUAAGAGUUUCAAAGAUGCUUUAUUUCAGUGGAUGGGGAAUUCACUGAAUUCCUAAAUUGAAAACGAUGCAGAAGCAAGACAGGGAGAAAGACAGCAAGACCCUAAAGAAGGAGAAAGGAUAACAGGGAAGAAGAGAACAGAUUGUGAGACUAUUAAAUGCAAACCUGCAACUAGCACUUGAUGGUGUCUGCAUUUACAGCUUAACAAAUAUUAGACAGUUGGUAGUUACGUCAAGACUUUAUUUUACCUUCAGUUAUACUGUGCUAUCUUCCCACAGGCGUUUCCACUUGAGGAUGUAUGUCUUCAUAACUUGACCUGGGAAAGGUUAUUAAAGAUAGGAAUGGUCCUUUUUUAUUCUUUUUUUUUUUUUUCCUUUAAAUCCUUUAAUGAAAAGGGUAUGCCCAUUAUUGCUAAAUAUACACAUUCCAUGGCAUUUUGUUGGAACUAUGUUGGCUGCAUAAGGGAAAAUCAGGACACGGCAGAAGUAAGACUAGACCUAUUGGCUCAUGGAUCUCAUUUCUAUGCUUGGAUACCAGAAACCUCUAUUCCUUAAGGAUAUAAGGCUGUUGAACACUUAUGAAGUCCUUUCUAAGUUUGUCUAACCUCUUUGUAGGUAAAGCAGUUUCAGGAGAUCUGCUUAUUCUUGUGAAAGUAAAGUAAUUGAAGUUUUCCAAACUUUAGAUUAGUCAUUUAAUGUACCAUGGCCCUUGAAGAGCAAGCCAAAUACCCAUUCUGUCCCACUCUUCCAUGACUUAUUAAAGGGCUGCUCUGGGUUUCAGAACCUCUCUAUGGAGUGCAGAAUACUAACUUGUGCAAGGGAAAACCAAAUAGCAUGCACAAAGAGACUGGAAGAUGAGGGCUCACUAAUCACUAUCAAAGAAAGUAAGAAAUGGAAAACUGAAACUGUGCUUGGGUCUGGAAGUAAACUAAAAUGUUUUAUGUCAUCUAUUCUUUUUUUCCCCCACAACUGCCGAGCAGUCUUUUAAAACAGUAAACUAGUUAUGACUAAGUGUAUUACUUCGAGUUUCUGCCAUAGUCACAAUUGCUCUCUGCAAAGGUUUUGCCUCUCUUUUUGGUCUGGGAAGUGCUCUCAUCCACAGCAAGUAUGAACAGAGAAGAGGACAGUCUUCUCCCCAGUAUAUAAAGAGGAAGAAGUGUAAAGCAAAACACAGUUCCCAACAAGAGACAGGCAGUGCAUUAUGUGCCCUAUUUUCUUCCAUAAGAUGUUACAGUUGGGAGCAGUGAAUGAGUUGCUUAGGAGCACAGGCGUUUAUUCAUAGAUGGAGCUGGAAACUGGGGAUCUUCAUUAGCUCUGUGCUUGUACCAGAUGCAUUGUUCUGCAUUUAUGAUCAUAGUAUAUUCAAAACAAAGGGUUAAAAAAAGUAAUUUGACAUAGAUUUGUAUCUCUGUUCCUUUCUAAUUAGCCCAGAAAUGUCCAUUCCCACCUGCAAUCGUGUGGUUCUGCCAUUCAGACUUCCAAGCAACCAUUACUCUGAGUUUUGUUAAUUACAGUUUCCUGGUUUCUCCUAGGAAUAUCCUGAGCAAGGAUUUACUGGAGAAAAUGUUGUAGGCAGAACUGGGAAAAGUGCAUUAGGAUUUCCCUGAUACAAAGUGUCCUUACUCUUCAGUAUAGUUUAAUCAGGCAUAUUCUUCAACUGCUAACCGAGCAGAAGGGAGGUGCUAGAGGGAAUGUUCUUACUCUCCUGGGGGUUUGGAAAUAUGGAGUUAAACUCCUUCAUGCUAGGCAUAUUAAAACUCUUGCACCCUAAUCUUUAGGUGCAGUUUGAGAAGAAGCCUUAUAUAUAUAUAUAUAUAUAUAUAUAUAUAUUUAAGACACCUGAAAGAGAAAAAAAAUGAAGGUUCAGUUGAGUUGGAUGUAUGAAAAGAAAUAACUUCAGCAGCAGUUCCAGGAGGUGUGAUGCCACCUGAGGUUCUCAGUCUAAACUCUUAUAGGAGAAGCUUGAAUCUGAGGAAACAUGGAUGUUUGGACACAACGUCUCUAGGGCAUUUUGCCCUUUUCGGUUUCCUCUUGCUCAGUAUGCUAGUUCUGUGUGUGAUUCACUUCAGCUGAUUUGCUUGUCUUGAUCACAUCUUGCCAAUCAGGCGUCUGAUUCUAUUAUGAAAAAUUGAUGGUUUAAGCUGUAUUCUCAUGGCAGUGGCAAUGCUGAAUAUCACCAGGAACUUUUUUUUAGUUAUCUGUAUGGUGCCUCUCUCACUGCAUGAGCAGACAUAGCAGAGAGUAGCAAAAAAAACAAACAAAAAAAAAAAAAACCCAAAGCAACCCAUGAAACCUCCAUGAUAUCAGUAGAACUAUAUAUUAUUUAUGCAUACUUGAAUUUUAAUGAAGAGUAAUGCCAUUUGCUCAUUAGUUUAGAAGCCAGAAAUACCCACCAUUUAUUUGGUAACUCUGAGCUGUCUCCCUUUCCAGAUAUUACAUUUUUAUUCCACUUCCCAGACAGAAGGUAUUAAAUGUCAGUGUUUGACAGGCAUUAUUUUUGUUACUCUACCAGUAAGUAGCGCAGAUAAUCACUUACUGUAAGGGUUGACUGGGAUCCAGAUGGAAGGUUCUUAUUCAUAACCCCACUCUGUUAUAUACUGAAAUGAGCUACAACACAGUGAUGUUGGAAGUUAUAUAAUUUAGUGAAUAGGUAAGACUCAAGCAGAUUCUUUUUCAGUACCCUGAGAACAGGUUGCUGUAUGAAGUGCAUUGCAAAUGGCCAUGGGUAAUCUUGUCCGGGCUGAAAUAAAUGACAGUGUUUCCUUUGUCUUUCUGUAGAUCAGAAUGUUACCUUCUGGCUUCCUGUUUCUUCUUCAGGUAAUUCAGAAUAUAGUUCCCUUAGGACAUGCAAGCGAGUUUGCUGUGCACCAGCAAAAUGGCUGUGAUUUUCCAUGGGACCAUCUGUCCUGACUUAUUCAGCAUAUGAGUAAAAGUCACACAGUUAUAGAAGUCCUCUGGAGUGAGCCUGAAAAGAUUUUACAAAAUGACCUGUCUUUUCUUUAGCAAAUUUGCCUGAAUUUUGACAAUCUUCAUGUUCAGUUUUUGAAAAUGGAAAAUGAACAAUGUGGGUAAAAUAGGCUGCUCAAAGCUAGAGUAAACUUAUUCAUGCUGACUUCAGACUCAGUGCUAUAAGGAGGAAAAAAAAAAAGAUGCACCUGGAAUUUCCUUCCCUUUCUCAGUAAAACCUCAUGGGAACAGAGCCAAAGUAGUAAUUCUUAUCUUAUACAUAUAUAUUUAAGUAAAAAUUAUAUAUUAGACAAAGCAAUGGGGAAGUGACCUUGUAAGCUUGUAAAUGCACUCAAAUCACUACAACAUAUGAAGUUUAAUUUGCUUCUUAAAUUGAAGUUGAAGGUAGGUCUGUGUCCAAUAUGUUCAGUUGAUCUAGGAAAUGUACCUUGUUCUUGCAAUGCUUAUAUUAGACCUCAGUAGUUUUGAAUAUGCUUGUUCUCAUAUUUCAUUGAGAUGCCACCUGAAAACACAAUUUAAAAGGUCAUUUUAGCAGAAGAUGUGACAUAAAAGUGUAACAGGUUGGUCCAGGGUAAAAGUGAACACAUGAGUCAUUCCUUCCCUAGGCUAUGCUAGAAUUAUGAAAAGAAAAUUAAAAUAGAGGUUGGUGGAAAGUGCAAGGCAUUGUAAAAUAGGCAAAAAAAGAGAAUGAAGAUGGCAGAAAAUGUGGUAGUAGGCAGCAGAGGGGUGGAAAUUAGAAAAGAAUCAGUAGAAAGAGUCAAGAGGGGCAGGAAACAAGGCAAUACUAUAAAUAGUCAGUGUCUCUUGGGAAGAAAUAGCUGUCAUCUUGUUAUAUUCCUACAAAUUGACACUUCUAUCACAGUUACUGUCAGUGAUAUUCUGCAAAUGCUCCACUGCAAAAAUGUUAAAGACUUACUGAUGAAAAUGUCAUUUUUUUCACAGUGCGAGUAAGGAUACCAAAGUUCAGCUCCUAACUGCUGAUAAAUCCCAAGUCUUAGUAGUUCUCUGUAACUUACAGUCCAGACAAUUAAUACUUUGAAGUGACUUUUUGAAGUGCAGAAGAGUAAAAAUAUCUACAAGAACAAAUCCUAACUCAAAGCAUUCCCAGGGUGUUCCUGUUAUGGCACCACGUUUCUACUUGUUUUUAACUCCAACAGUACCCGUGCUGAAUGCCUCAAGUGUCUGUGAAUGCCCGUGAGGUUGAGAUCGCCCUUCCUGAGAAGAGGACUGCAUGGGUACCCUUUCUCUAUGGGAACAAUUGCUUGUAUGGAAAUACGGGUUUGGUAAUCAACUGAUAUCUGGGCAUUUGAGUGUGCAACCUAGCUCUGGUCUUAGCCAUUCUUUUAAAUGUAGUAUUUAUAGAUUUAUUAAUUAACUUCUUUUAUGGAAUCUAGAAGGCAGUUAUUUCUCUUUACAUCACCUUAGGAGAUCAAAGAAGAAAAACUAUGGCUUUUCCAAAAGCAGUGUUUAUCCCUAGUUCAGCCUUAUUUAAAUAAAGUUAAGAUCUACUCUGCCAUAAGUAGAGAGAAUAUGUUCAGUGCAUCAUUACAGGUUAGGGGCUGACCUUCUGGGGAGAAGCUCUGCAGAGAAUGACCUGGGUAUCCUGGUGGACAACAGGUUGACAAUGAGCCAGCAGUGUGCCACUGUGGCCAAGAAGGCCAGUGGUACGCCUGGGUGCAUUAAAAGAGCGUGGACAAGAAGUCAAGGGAACUGAUCCUCACCCUCUACUCUGGUGUGGCUACAUCUGGAGUACUGUGUCCAAUUCUGGACUCCUCAGUUCAAGAAAUUCAGGGAACUGCUGGAGAGAGUCCAGCAGAAGACCACAAAGAUGACUACGGGCCUUAUGAGGAAAGGCUGAAAGACCUGGGUCUGUUCAGCCUGGAGAACAGAAGACUGAGGUGGGAUCUUGUCAACACAUACAAAUAUCUGAAAAGUUGGUAUCAAAUGGAUAGAGGCCAGAAUCUUUUCAGUGACAGAACAAGGGGCAUUGGGUACAAACUGAAACAUGGGAAGUUUCUUCAAAUAUGAAGAAAAUCUUCUUUAUUUUGAGGGUGACAGAGCACUGGAACAGGCUGCCCAGAGAGGUUGUAGAGUCUCCUUUUCUGGAGAUAUUCAAUGCCCAUCUGAACACUUAAAUGCGUGACCUACUAUAGGGAACUUGCUUUAGCAGGGAGUUGGCCUAGAUGAUCUCCAGAGGUUCCUUCCAACCACUAUGCUUCUAUGAUUCUGUAAUUUUGUGAGGUCAGCACAUUUGCUAAAGAAUUCCAAUUUACUGUAUAAUUACACAUUAAAAUUACAUAAAAAUCAGUAGUGUGUUGGGGCCAUUAAAAUACACCUAAAUGCUUGAUACCUUUAUAUCUGGCUGCCCGAUCUUGUAGGUUCUUAUUUCCCUUAAGAAUAGCAAAUGAGACAAUACAUUUCAGUGUGGCUGUUUCAUGAUUCAGGUCAUCAGCUUAUUUCCUCACUGACUGUUCUUAAGUCAAACACAGUCUCAAACUCCAUUGCUCAGGUGUUCAAGCAAGUCUUUUUCUGAAGCUGUAUCACUUUCAUCUGUAUACUCUAAAGUAUGUCAACCAUCACUUCCUCAAUUAUUUGUGUGAUUGCAUAUAAUUAUCUUUCAAGAUAUAGUAGACAUACAAGUAACUGUCUUUACAUGCUGCUGCUUUCUGACAGGCUUUCAGUAGAAAUUUGUAGAAUUUGUGUUAAUUGUUACAAAAAUGAUAAAAUUCUUGAGGCAAUUAUGUUUGAUGAAGUAUGCACAGAUAUUGUACGUACAUAGUGUCAGUUGUCACUAUGCAUUCUCAGUUAGAUAACUUUGAAGAUGCAAAACUAGAAUUGAUAGUGUAUGUAGUAAGAAUAGUGUUUUCUUUCAAAUAGGACAGAGUAGAAGAAAAAAGCUGUCAGUUUUUAUCAGUGCAUUUGGAAGUUUUUCUAAAACGAAACAAGAAGUGUCAUGGGGUUAUGCUGAUCAUUCAUUUUGUUUGCUUGCAGGGAGCUUAAAUUCAAUCGAUUAAUUAUCCUUUUGAAUAUCCUGAGGUCUGUGUACAGGGAAUUUCUAUAAUGCUGCAAACUUAAGCAAGAACAUUUUGGAGCAUUUACAUUGAGAAAGGGUUGCCAGGAGGAAUGAAUCCAAAUGGCCCUAAAAUAGUAAAGCUUUUAGCAAAUUUAAUGGUAUAGAAAGACAAGUAAUUUUGCAUUCUAGGCUAUGUACGGAUUUUAAGUGCCAUCAAGAAUCUGGAAAAGAAAGAAUACAUAAAUGCAGCAAAAAUAUAGAUUUGGUACUUAAAUUAAUUGGAAAAACAUGGAAAUCAUGCUGUGAUUUAAUCUAUCUUUGACCUAGUCCAUGACUUCUAACUCAUGAAGUAGACUGAAUGCUGGAGUAGAUUGCAAAUAUGUCAGAAGCUUUAAUUUGAACUGCCAGCGGGAUAGAUUGGAUUGUGUGUGCUGCCCAGAUACUAGCAACAUUUCUCACUGUUAUCAAAGAGCAUGCCAGAAGUUCCUGGCCACACUAGCAAGGAAAUCAAUGGCCAAUAUGACAUUCUAAAGUCACUUUUUUUUGAGCAUUUCAACUCCUUUCAACACAAAACUGGCCAAUUCACAGAGAUGAAGUUUCCAGUGACUCCCCAUAGUGGUAAUCGUGGAUUUAGGAUCUGCAGAAAAGCAGAACUAAGAAAAGAGAAGGCAGGAUUUAGUAACUAAACUUGCAGCAAGUCACCUCAUGUACCCCUGCUAAGCUGCUCUUCAAUUAAUUCUGUUAUACUGGCACAGUUAGAAAUGGUUUGGCUUGCUGAUGUAGAAACAGGAGGAGAUUUUUCCAAAGCAGUAUAGGGUACCUAGCAGCUCUUCAUACUCCUGAAAUUACCAAUUUAAAAUAUAUUUUACUGAAUAAAGUCAUUACAACAAUUCGAGGCACUUUAAAUACAGUCAAACAAACUCAGUUUCAUAGCACUUUUGUGCAUUACUAAGGAUUUUCACCCAAACAUUUAUCCUAAAUGAGCUGUAGGUGUUACAGGAUGUCACUAUGAUACUGACCAUUAAUUCCAAAGAUGCUUGAUUGUUACCUGUAAACACUUUGUGUCUUUGGCCUUUAUCUUGGUCUUUUCUGAGUCAAGCCUUUUAUUAAUUUUCAGGCAUGGUGACCUUCUAUUGUAGAGUAAGCAUGCCCAAUUUUGUUUUCUCAAGAUAAUUCAAUGUGUCAGUUGUACAUAUUCUUUCUCCUCAUUCUUGUGCUCUCAUAUGAAAUUUAAUGUCCUAUUGUUUAAAUGUUCUCACCUCUGGCCUUAAGCUUUUACCUGGAGUCACCUUUCCUGACUUUCAGAGUAGACAGCAAUCCCUCAAUCUGACAUUUUGAUAUACCAUCUGCCAAAUCAUCUCAUCUGGAGAAGAGAGAACCAUGUGCUUAGAAGGAGAUAGUGGUAUGACAAUUCUGUUAAACUAGAUAUUUCUCAUAUGAUUUACGUGGAAAGAUAUGUUCCAAUAAAUAAAGAGUUAAUCAUGUAUGAGAAUAAUGAAAAAAAAAUGUGUAGGUGGAGUUGUAGACAAUAUAUUAAUUUUUCAUGCAAUUUAGUUAUUAUUGGCAGGGUAUGAAUUGGUACUGUUUGCCUGAAAAAAAAAAGGAUGAUAAAGAACAGAUAUAUUUUCAACUCCUGUAAAGGAUGGCAUACUUUAGACUUUAUGACAUUGAAAACUUCCACUGUUCUACAUGGUGCAGUGGUGCUUGGCUGCUAUUGCUUAAUCAUUCUAAUGGUAAUGAGUCUAAAGGUUUUAUACUGGUGUUUUGGCUGCACUACACUAGUCCAUCAAUGUGUAAUGAUAUUUUAAAGCCUUAUAUGAACCUAGAACAGAUGCAUUUAAAAAGUCAUGUUACUAAAUCACCAAAUUGAGAUGAAAUUAAAAUUUGAUAGUUUUACUGUUCUUAAAACAGCAGUACAACAGUUCAGUGCACUACAGUAAGCCCAAAGAAGCAAAGUCACUCAGAUUGCUUUCAGACAGCAAUGGGUAGUGGCUGGGGUGUAACUUUUAUAAUAUUUAACUAGAGUACUUGAGGAUUCUGGAUUUGUAGGGUCACUGGAGUCAGUGGAGAUAUUCUGAGAAUUUGUCCUUUAGAAAGCUAGCUCGAAUGUCAUCUCCUCUUACCUGCUUACCAUGUACAUAAGGAGAUAUAUUUUAUAGCCUUGAAGGCAGGUCUCUUGGUCUUAGAUGCCAAAGAAGUUGGAAAUCCUUGGUUGAGCAUUUUCAGUAAGUUACCAGAAUGUGGUCAUCAUUAAGCACAUUUCAGCCCAUUCCAGCCCAGUUUGUGCAAAAGCAGAAGGGAAUUAUAGACCUUCGCAUGAAAAAAAGGAGCCACUCUGUUGCAGUGCAUGCUCCAGCUGGUGCUGAGGGAUCUGGUGCUCGGUGGUCACUCAGAACUUCCUACACUUUAUACAGGAACCUGAUUUAUUUAGAAACUGUUUCUAGGUUCACAUUAUGUAAGAUAAAGCUACAGCAAAAGAACAAGAACCUUUUAAGUGAAUAUUUAACAAAAGAGCAAAUAUUGCUCCAAGGAGACUUAGGAGAAUAAAUGCUGCAUUUCCACUCAGUGCUAGAAAUGUGAAAACUUUUUUUUAUGGUCUUUGCCAUAUACCAUGUAUGGACUGUGUUCCCAUUUCUCCCUUUCCUUGUAAUUUCCUUGCAGCUUCACCUCUUCAAGGUAAAUCUAAAUGCUAUGGACAAUAUUUAGUAAUAAAAUUCUGCUCGUGUAUUCUGAAUGACUUCAGGUUAUUUUUAGUUCAUUCUAAAUAAUUAAACACACAAUAAUUUAUAAAUAACAAAGUUUAGGCAAGGCAAGUUAGAUUGCUGGACAACAGAGUCCUUAAACAUCCAUUAUUGUCACUCUGAUCACCAUCUUUCUCCUUGUGAUGCCAGAUUUUUUAAUCCCUUGCAGGUGAAAAGCAGGUUGAUUUCUCAUCAGCCUGGAGAGAAGACUGUUCUCUCAUGUGUACACAAGAAAUUCAGUUUGGUUUGGACUCAGUCAUUGUGAUCCAGACUUUGUACAAGCUCUUGGGAUUCACAAGACUGAGGCUAGAUCACGCCUCAGACAUGUGGUCUGGAAAGCAUUUGCAAUUGCUUCUUUUCUUGAAUGCCACCCUCUUUACUUGUAAGCAGAUGGUGAGAAUGGAAUAGAAUAGAGUAGAAUGGAUUGGGAUGGAAUAGAAUAAUGGAACAAUGGAAUCAUAGAAUCAUUAACGUUGGAAAGACCAAGGAGAUCAUCUACUCCAACCAUCAACCUACACCUGUGAUUGCUCUAGACCAUCUCACUCAGUACCACAUCUACCCUUUUCUUGAAACCCACCAGUAAUGGUGACUCCACCACUUCCUGGGAAGCCUUUUCCAAAAUCUCAUCAUUCCUUCUGAGAACCAGUUUUUCCUAAUACCCACCCUGAACCUCCCAUGGCACAAUUUAAGGCCAUUCUCUCUUGUCCUAUUGCUAGAAUGGGAUAGAAGAAAGAGAAGAGGGGAGAGGAGGGGAGAGGAGAGGAGAGGAGAGGAGAG